GACGAACGCUGGCGGCGUGCUUAACACAUGCAAGUCGUACGGUAAGGCCCUUUCGGGGGUACACGAGUGGCGAACGGGUGAGUAACACGUGAGUAACCUGCCCACAACUUUGGGAUAACGCUAGGAAACUGGUGCUAAUACUGGAUAUGUGCUCCUGCUGCAUGGUGGGGGUUGGAAAGCUCCGGCGGCUGUGGAUGGACUCGCGGCCUAUCAGCUUGUUGGUGGGGUAGUGGCCUACCAAGGCGGCGGCGGGUAGCCGGCCUGAGAGGGUGACCGGCCACAUUGAGACUGAGAUGCGGCCCAGGCUCCGACGGGAGGCAGCAGUGGGGAAUAUUGCACAAUGGGCGCAGGCCUGAUGCAGCAACGCCGCGUGCGGGAUGACGGCCUUCGUGUUGUAAACCGCUUUCAGCAGGGACGAAGCUUUUUGUGACGGUACCUGCAGAAGAAGCACCGGCUAACUACGUG
rnacentral:rRNA from 1 species